CCAUCCUAACCGACGUGCGUCUG
rnacentral:piRNA from 1 species